AUCCGUGAGGGACAAAACAUACGCAAAUGCGACACUGUGAUUGGUCGAAUUCAUUUGUUGCCCACCAUUCUCCAUACUAAUAAAAAGGUGGGGAACAAACAAAAAGUGAGACUGUGACAAGGACAAGCAAUAAUACCGCUUUCUCUGCUACUCCUACUGAAAGAUACAUAAGACUAUCCCGUUCUGUCAGUUACCCCCACCACUCAUGCCAGAUCCAGGUAUAUCCUAGAUUCAUGGUGUCUACCGUUCCUUGGUACAACGUACCCAGCCUCCCCUACCCUUCUGCCCCAACCCUUAAAAAAUGCUGCGUACGCCCAUGUUGUGUCUCACUCUCUCGUUAAGUAAAAUGUGAAACGCUAAUACACAUUGGACCAUGAAAUUCGAUAGGUGGAAUAUACCACCCUUUAUCGCAUAGUUGGCUCGCCCAAUGAAAUUUUAACUCACUUCACAUAUAGGUACCUACAAUUUCUUGGGAACACUAUCUGCCAACAGUUAUAGCCGAAAUAAUAAAUCUGUUUACCUAUAUAUUCGAACAAAGUUGCGAUCGCUAAGUGUCGCUCCAACCUAUGGUUGCCGCCGCCGCCGGUCGCGCAAUGUAACUGGCCAGGUAACUAUACGUUUGUGGGAUAAAAUGGUUCCAGUUAAAUUCCACGUUAAAUUGGGAAAUGUUUUUAUUCCUCGACUAUGCGACAGCAUUUACUAAGAACAGAGGGCCUACCGUGAACCACUUUCGACGUGCCUCCCUGUCACACUUACGUACGAAUUUACAAGUGCGACAGAAAGGCAACACGUCGAACGUGGUUCGCGCUAGCCCCCAGAUGUUGUCCAUAAUUAUUUUCCAUCGUAUUUUCACGGAGUACAAACGUGUCGCAAGAAACGUUUGUAUUUCAGUCAGUCUCGGUACAAAAAGUACUGAGCUUGACUGAUUUGAAGUAGCAUGGCAAAUACGAACGUUUCCGAGAAAACAGGAUGGAAAACAAUUAUGCACUGUCUGUUGUCUGUUCGGAAAGAGAAGAGAUGUGGAAUGUAUUUGUACCCAGGCUCCAUACAUUCCACGACUUUUUAGGGUUCCGUACCCAAAGGGUAAAACGGGACCCUAUUACUAAGACUUCGCUGUCCGUCCGUCCGUCCGUCUGUCUGUCACCAGGCGGUAUCUCACGAACCGUGAUAGCUAGACAGUUGAAAUUUUCACAGAUGAUGUAUUUCUGUUGCCGCUAUAACAACAAAUACUAAAAACAAUAAAAUAAAGAUUUAAGUGGGGCUCCCAUACAGCAAACGUGAUUUUUGACCAAAGUUAAGCAACGUCGGACGUGGUCAGUACUUGGAUGGGUGACCGUUUUCUUUUUGCAUUUUUUUCGGUUUUUUUUUUGUUUUAUGGUACGGAACCCUUCGUGCGCAAGUCCGACUCGCACUUGCCCGGUUUUUCUCUUUCCGCACAGACUAGGUACAUCUGUAUGACUAGUUUUCUUAUGUUACUGUUGUAUUUUUUAAAGAUUUUUAUUUUGUUUAUAAGUUAAUAUAUCUAGGUGUUGUAGUUAAUGUGGUUUGCCCACCAUUUGGAUUGUCAAGUAUUAUUUUAGUGGCUUAAAUAAAAAUCGUGUUCACUAUUAAAAAUGUUUGUAAUAUGUAUGUUGCAAUAGAUUUAGCCUUUUUGGCUGCUAUACUAUCUAUUUGACUCCUUGAUUAUUAUGUUCUGACAUCUGUAAUAAUCAUUAAGUAUAAUUACAUAGCGGUUUCGUUAUGUAAUUUAAUAAAAUAGAUAUUUCAUAAUAUAAUGAUGAUGAUUGAUGAAUUAAUGACUACAAUUGUACCUAUUUACAUCGUUGUGGUCAUUUUGGUAUAGGCAAAGACGACAUCAAAGACAUGUUAACAUUUUUCGCCUUAUCACAAAGGAGUAAGGUGCAAAAGUGUAAACAUAUCUUUGACGUCGACGUCGACUGUACAAGCCCGCAAUGCUCUAUUUAUUCAUUGAGGUAUACAUAAUACCUCAGUGUAUUUAUUUUAAAUUAUUAGAAUGCCUGCCGGAGGUGAAUAUUUUUCCAUAUUGCCUUUAAUUUAAAAUUUGUAGUAUAGUUCGUAGAUUCGUAACUGAGCCCGGCGGCUAAUCCUAUUGUCUAUUGUUAAGUAAACUAGCAGUAAACCGCACGUGCUACUUACCUGCAAAAAAAGGUCAUACUUACUUAUUCUAUUUGGCACCUGAGCGCAGGGUAGUCCAACGCUCAAAAAACCAGUGUAGUUGCGCUCUCCGAUAACGCGCCUUUGUUACGCAUCUCGAUGACACAUUUUAGACUGGUUCUGUAGCAUUCGACUCGCCGGCACUCAGUAACCGAAGUACGCAGGUUUUUAUGCAGGUGGUGGUGGCACGUGGCACGAGCGGUUUUAACUACUUAACAAUAGACAAUAGGAUUAGCUCGGGCUCUGUUUGAAACCUACGGACUUAUAACGCUCGCAGACGUAGAAACGUCUGCAAGCGUUAAUUUUUUAUCUAUCAGAAGCCAGAUAAAAAAUUAGUUUAAUGCUCUAUUUAUUUUAUACUCUAAAAUCUUUUUUAGUCUAUGCAUUUUGUACAUUCCUCUAGCUAGUCUCAGACACUAUAUAUCUUCCGCUUUGACGCUAUGAAAUACCUACCUUACAAUUUGAUCAAUCCUUGGUUCACCUUCAAUCUUAGAUUUUUGCAUAUAAUAUACCUUUGUAUAUGUAUGUAUAUCUAUAUCUUUUACCACUAUUUGACUAUUGUGACAUAAAGUACCUAUCCUCGAAUUAAGAAAUCCUUUCACUUAUUUUCCUUUCAUUUUAUUAGGACUAAAUUAAAGAAUAAAGACUUUCACUUUUCCUUUUAUAUAACUGUUACAUAAAGUAGUAUUUUAGUUUAAAGACCCGUCCCCUGUUGCCAUAUUGCAACUUGUAAGCAUGCUUCAUUCAUAGGAUUGUUACAAUGUGUAUGUAUACUAUAUACAUAUGUACAAUAUGUAUAUACAUCUGUGAAAGCAAACGUGUGCAAAUAUGUAGUAUGAAUAGGUAUGAAUUUCUAUUUUGUACAAAUAUGUGAAUAAAAUGAUGCAACAACCGU